UUGCUUAAGGUGGUACCUAACACUACAGGGAGAUAACUCUGUAAAAUCAGCUAAACGUUUUAACUACGUUGCGUUGUUAAAAGAAUAUUAAGCUUCUCAAUGAUCAAAAUAAGUGUUUGUCAAACUGCUAUAUAACCAGUGUAAUUUUUCUGAUAAAACGGUUGGUUCAAAUUUUUUGAAAUUUUUAUAUUUUUGUCAAAGGGUCAAAGUAAAUACUUUGUCAAAAUUUUAA
rnacentral:lncRNA from 1 species